UUGCUGUGAUGUCCAGGCUGGUCUUGAACUCCUAGCCUCAAGCAAUCCUCUGUGUUCAAGGAAGAAAAAGAGGGAAGUGCAACUGGAGCUCUGUGACAGGGGUAGCGUGGCGGUGUGAGAGGUCAGGGUGGCCUGAUGCAGCGCUGGGCAUGCAGAGGGUCAGGGGUUUCACCUUUCUGGGGACACUGCUCUGUACAGAAUGGGUGACGUGGAGCUGGAUUCUCAGGGCUAUAAUGAGGUGGGGGUCCUGGGAGGCUCGGGUUGGAGACAAGGACGAAUAAUGAUAAAGACAAAUAAUGUUUAGUUGUCUCUCAUCGUGUUCCUGGCACAGUCCCAUUUAAACCUUAUGAUCCAUUUUUACUCCCUUUAUAAUAGGGUAAAUGGAGAGUCAGCAGUCAGCGAUCACUUUUGGGGCUUGCUGACCUUGAGGUACCAGAGGGGGUAUGUAGAUGGAGAUGUAAAAGUAAACCAUUGGAAUCCCAAAGGUGCACAUAUUUGGCACAUAGCAAGUAAGUGUUGAAUGAAAUGAGGUGAGAUUUACAUUUUGAAGUGAAUCCUCCAUGAAAGGGUAGAUGAGCGUCUGUUUUGCAGCUUCCGGGGCACCGAGGUUGCUGAAGUGUUAAUUAAAAUCUGCUCUACUUUUUAUGGUAAUGUGUAGGGUGUCUGUCUUUUUGGUCAAUGAGUCUCUGAACUCCAUCCUAUAUUUAGACAGAGCCUUUCCCACCUUUAUUACUUUUUAUUUCAAAUUAAUAUGAGGGUACAAAUUUUUAGGUUUCAUUGUUCUCACUUCGGGGGUAAAGUUUCAGUUGUAAAAGAGCCCCUUACUUACGGGGUGUGUUAUACACCCUCACAGUAUGCACAUUAGGUGACAUCCUGCCACAUGGCCUCCCUCUUUAUGCCAACUGACCUUCCCCCUCCCCUCUUCCCCUUGCCUCCCCCCUCUGCUCCCGUAUUAGACUAUGUUUGUGUUUUAUUGUGUAUACAAGCAUGCAAUUGUUUAUGUAUUGGUUUGAUAUUAGUAUUGAGUACAUCAGCUAUUUAUUUUUCCAUUCUUGCAAUACUUUACUAAGAAGAAUGUGUUUCAUCUUCAUCCAGAUAAAUAUAAAAGAUGUAAAGUUUCCAUUUUUUAAUGGUUGAAUAGUAUUCCAUGGUAUCCAUAUACCACAGUUUGUUGAUCCAUUCAUGGGUUGUUAGGAACUUAGGUUGCUUCCACAACUUGGCAAUUAUGAAUUGAGCCAUAUAACAUUCUGGUGCAAAUGUCUUUGUGGUAAAAUGAUUUUUGUUCUUCUGGGUAGAUACCUAGUAAUGAGAUUGCAGGAUCAAAUGGAAGGUCUACUUUUAUAUCUUUGAGGAUUCUCCAUACUUCUCUCCAAAAAGGCUGUAUUAGUUUGCAAUCCCACCAGCAGUGUAGAAGGGUUUCCUUCUCUCCACAUUCAUGCCAGCAUCUGUCCACCUUUAUUAUGCAAAAAUCAUCUCCCACCAAAGUCAUAGGCUCCAGACCCUGAGAACCAGAGACACCUACCUGAGCUUUUUUCUGAAGCCGGGACAUGUAGAGUCUAUUUUGGAGGCAUCAUCAGAGGACUGGAAUUGAUGGCCAGAAGCUACAGGGACAGAAGUUCUAGGGCAGAGGUACUCAGCAAUGAGAAAGCUGCCGUGAGAAGGAGGAAGGGACAUCCUGCGGAGACUGUCAUCCUCUCUUUCGACACCUUUGCUUGAGGCAGCUACCUGCUGUAAUCCUUAGCCCCAGCCCCAGCCGCCAUGUCCUGCUCUGGAGAGAUGCUGUGUUGGUUAUGUACCAGGCCCUGAUCCGAUGCUGAGGAUCCAGAGAUAACCUGUCCUAUUCCCAGGAGAAUCACUCAUCAUGAGACCCUUUAAAGAGUGUUGGGGUGACUCAGCCUAGACUACUGCAGAAGUUAAGGUGAACCAAGAAAUCCAAAUUACAGUGAUGAAUCCUUCUGUGUUUUGGAAGGCCCCUUCCAGGCAUGGCGCUUUCAUAUGGCCUGAGCUGAAACUGCACUCAGGAACCAUUUUGUGGCAUUUCUAAUAACUCACUGUGCAGUUUUGCAUUGUGUUUGUGGCAGGAUUUCUCCACAGGGGUCUGAUAUGAAACCCCCAUCCGUUGCCCUGCACAGAGGCAGGGACCGAGGGACUGAGAGGAAAGGACAGGCUGAGGAUACUCGCCAGUCACAGCCAGACUUAGCCCUGCAGUCUGACUUCCUGCCGUGUGACUGCUGGCACCCUGUCCAUCAAGUGCUGCCAGGGUGUCGGAGGCUGCCGAUGACACAGCCACAACUCACGGCCGAGUCAUUUUGUCUGCAUUUCUAUCAAGGCCAGGAGUGCCAGUCAAUAGCAAAUACAGGAAAUUUUGAAAGACCAACAACAGCUGACAACAAAGUCCAUUCUGGGAUGUUUUUAACAAAACAAUCAAGGCUUCAGCACUUUCCGGGGUUGAAGACCAAAUUGGAGCAGGACUGGCAGCCAGCACAACCUCUUCCAUCUUCCGCCUGCUCAGAACCAUGAAGGAUGGUCUAAAAAUACUACCUGGACCUCAGUCUAGUGCUGCUUUUGUUAUUUGCACUCUUAUGCUUUGGUCUUUUGAAAAACAUCGUUAUCAGGGCUGAGUUUCCUAUCAUUUGUAUUUAUAGAGCCCUUUAUUCUGAAGACAUCAAAGCGCCUGUUCUGGUGUCUGAGAACUAAGUGCAGGUCUCCCUGAGUGACACGUAGCUGGUGGAAGAAUGAGGUGAGGAUGCCUGGCUUCUGGACUUGGGGCUUGCUCAGUUGCACUCUGUUCCAUACUAAGAGAGAACAGCUCCCUUCUGGGCAUGGCCGCUGCAGCCCCACCUGACGCGCUCCUAGGUCUCUAAACCACACCUUUCCCACCAGGCCUCUGAGAAGUCCAGCCUGGCCCCUCUGUGCUCCUAACAGUGGGCCCUCUUCUCUGACUUCUGAGGGUGCUUGAUGUCUGUUCUGACCCCUCAGCCCUCCUGGAGGUCCCACUUCCUAGGUGUCUGUUUUUCUAAUUCAGUCUCAGGGGGCCAGGCGCCAGCCUGUGCUCAGUUUCGAGUGUGCUCAGUGGGGAGCCUUUCACCAAUGAGGAGUUGAGGCAGUUCCCCGUCCUCAACACUCAACAAUGAUUCAGACCCCAAUCCCAAAAGGACAGCAGAUCUGCAGCCCGGACAGACCUACUGAACUCGUUUUCUGCUGUGCAGUGUACCCCCUGGCCAUGCUCAGUACAGGGAAUCCAUCUGACUUACAGAAAGACAUUGCAGAGAGGCACAUUUCAUAGCUUAUCCCUGAAAUCCUAGCACUCUGGGAAGGUGAGGCAGUUGGAAUGCCUGAUUUCAAGAGUUCGAGACCAGUCUGAGCAAGAGUGAGACCCCGUGUCUACUAAAAAUAGAAAAAUUAGCUGGGCAUCAUGGCGGGUGCCUGUUGUAACAGCUACUUGGGAGGCUGACACAAGAGAAUUGCUCAAGCCCAAGAGUUUGAGGGUGCUGUGAGCUAUGAACCAUAGUACUCUACCUAGGGCAACAGAGUGAGACUCUGUCUCAAAAAAAAAAAAAAAAAAGACAUUGUACAGAGUUGUGAUUAGUAACUAAGAGACAAAGUCGUCUCCCCAGACUGGAAGAGUUUCAUAGAUGUGGAAGAAGUAUGAUGUGCUGAUCUUCCUGAGCCCCUGAGGGAAAAGUCAUGGCUGAAUGCGCAUACCUCUUGGCACUGACUUUAGAGCCAUGAUCACCGCCAGGGGGAGCUCUGCCCUCCCCAGGGCCAGUGACACUUCUCUCAACAUGCUAUGGGUUUUCCUUCAUGAAAAAUUCCCAGCCUGUGGAAGUAAGAUGUGAGUUGGAUGGACCACCCGAAGAGGAGUCUCCCAUCCCAGUCCCAGGAAAGAGUACCAACUUCUUGGCUUCAGACACCUUCAGAGGCCUGGCACCCUUCAGCAGCUGGUGGGUGCAUCCAGCCCAGCAGGGUGCAGCUCAAUUACUCAGGUGUCUUGAGAUCUGAGUACGCUGAGUCCAUUUUUUUGUGUCCACGGAGACCUCCACUCAGUAGUUGUGCGUUCUGCUCACUGAAUUUGCUUCUGAAAUGGUCACAAGGAGAGUAUAAAAUGUGACCAGUGAGCAGAACCCACAUUUCCUACGGGAGGAGGUGAUGAGCAUUCUCAGAAGCAGAGGGAACUUUGGAGAGGGUUAGAGAGGGAAGUGCAAUGAAGGGACAGUCAGGCUCCAAAAGGACUGGAGAGUUGGGGUCAGGCGAGGGCAUGGGGAGAGGGGUGAAGAGAAGAGGUCCGGGGCUCCUAGCCCCAUACACUGCUGGGGAAACAGCACAGGAUGGCCGAAACAGCUCCUGUGCACGCUGGGGUCACUGGGGCUUUCCUCCUUUUCUUCAGACUGCUGCUCCCUUGCUUAAUUGCUUAAUAAAUCUCGAGCAAUUUAUGAACCUACCUGUGUCCCAGUUUUGCCAUACAUAAGGUGGUGCUUAAAAUACAUACUUCUCCAGUAAUAAGCAAAUUUAAUGAGGAAAAACACAUAAAGAAUAACAACAAAUACCAUAAAACACCUCAGAGGAUUUUCAAGGAAAAUUGGUGCGAUAGCAAUCAAGAAAAUCACAAAACUUUACUGGUGCAUAAAAUGUACGUGCGCAAAUUACAUACAUAUUUGGACAAAUGUAUCAUGCUCUUGGAUAAGGCAAUGACUUGUGAAAAUAUCAAUUAUUCCCAAAUUCAUGUAAGUUUAAUGGAAGUCAUUUUAAUAACUUCACAGCUAUUUUAGAAACAGAACAAAUGCUCAAGUUACUGCGGAAAGUAAUUUGA